UGCAGUCGAACGGCAGCACGGGAGCAAUCCUGGUGGCGAGUGGCGAACGGGUGAGUAAUACAUCGGAACGUGUCCUGUAGUGGGGGAUAGCCCGGCGAAAGCCGGAUUAAUACCGCAUACGCUCUACGGAGGAAAGGGGGGGAUCGAAAGACCUCUCGUUAUAGGGGCGGCCGAUGGCAGAUUAGCUGGUUGGUGGGGUAAAGGCCUACCAAGGCGACGAUCUGUAGCUGGUCUGAGAGGACGACCAGCCACACUGGGACUGAGACACGGCCCAGACUCCUACGGGAGGCAGCAGUGGGGAAUUUUGGACAAUGGGCGCAAGCCUGAUCCAGCAAUGCCGCGUGUGUGAAGAAGGCCUUCGGGUUGUAAAGCACUUUUGUCCGGAAAGAAAUCUCCUGCCCUAAUACGGCGGGGGGAUGACGGUACCGGAAGAAUAAGCACCGGCUAACUACGUGCCAGCAGCCGCGGUAAUACGUAGGGUGCAAGCGUUAAUCGGAAUGACUGGGCGUAAAGCGUGCGCAGGCGGUUCGCUAAGACAGAUGUGAAAUCCCCGGGCUUAACCUGGGAACUGCAUUUGUGACUGGCGGGCUAGAGUAUGGCAGAGGGGGGUAGAAUUCCACGUGUAGCAGUGAAAUGCGUAGAGAUGUGGAGGAAUACCGAUGGCGAAGGCAGCCCCCUGGGCCAAUACUGACGCUCAUGCACGAAAGCGUGGGGAGCAAACAGGAUUAGAUACCCUGUAGUCCACGCCCUAAACGAUGUCAACUGGUUGUCGGGUCUUCAUUGACUUGGUAACGUAGCUAACGCGUGAAGUUGACCGCCUGGGGAGUACGGUCGCAAGAUUAAAACUC
rnacentral:rRNA from 1 species